rnacentral:rRNA from 1 species
AGCAGCCGCCGCGGUAAUACGGAGGGUGCAAGCGUUAUCCGGAUUUAUUGGGUUUAAAGGGUCCGUAGGCGGAUCUGUAAGUCAGUGGUGAAAUCUCACAGCUUAACUGUGAAACUGCCAUUGAUACUGCAGGUCUUGAGUAAAUUUGAAGUGGCUGGAAUAAGUAGUGUAGCGGUGAAAUGCAUAGAUAUUACUUAGAACACCAAUUGCGAAGGCAGGUCACUAAGAUUUAACUGACGCUGAUGGACGAAAGCGUGGGGAGCGAACAGGAUUAGAGACCCCCGUAGUCCCUGUCUCUUAUAA